rnacentral:rRNA from 1 species
CUUUGCCAACACCCGCGGGUAAUACGUARGGGGCUAGCGUUGUCCGGAAUUAUUGGGCGUAAAGCGCGCGCAGGCGGCUUCUUAAGUBUGAUGUGAAAUCUCGGGGCUYAACCCCGAACGGCCAUUGRAAACUGGGGAGCUUGAGUGCAGAAGAGGAGAGUGGAAUUCCACGUGUAGMGGWGAAAUGCKUAAAAUAUGUGGAGGAACACCAUGUGGCAAAAGGCGACUUCUCUGGUC